rnacentral:rRNA from 1 species
CGUAGGGGGCAAGCGUUGUCCGGAUUUAUUGGGCGUAAAGAGCGUGUAGGCGGUCAGGUAGGUCGGUUGUGAAAACUGGAGGCUCAACCUUCAGAGGUCGACCGAAACCCCUGGCUAGAGUCCGGGAGAGGAGAGUGGAAUUCCUGGUGUAGCGGUGAAAUGCGCAGAUAUCAGGAAGAACACCCGUGGCGAAAGCGGCUCUCUGGAACGGUACUGACGCUGAGACGCGAAAGCGUGGGGAGCGAACAGGAUUAGAUACCCUGGUAGUCCACGCCGUAAACGAUGGGCGCUAGGUGUGGGAGGUGUCGACUCCUCCCGUGCCGAAGCUAACGCAUUAAGCGCCCCGCCUGGGGAGUACGGCCGCAAGGCUA